CCUACGGGUGGCAGCAGUGGGGCAUAUUGCACAAUGGGGGAAACCCUGAUGCAGCGACGCCGCGUGAGUGAAGAAGUAAUUCGUUAUGUAAAGCUCUAUCAGCAGGGAAGAACAUGACGGUACAUGAGUAAUAAGCCCCGGCUAACUACGUACCAGAAGCCGCGGUAAUACGUAGGGGGCAAGCGUUAUCCGGAUUGACUGGGUGUAAAGGGGGCGUAGACGGCAGUGCAAGUCUGGCGUGAAAGGCGGGGGCUCAACCCCCGGACUGCAUUGGAAACUGUACGGCUGGAGUGCAGGAGAGGUGAGUGGAAUUCCUAGUGUAGCGGUGAAAUGCGUAGAGAUUAGGAGGAACACCAGUGGCGAAGGCGGCUUACUGGACUGUAACUGACGUUGAGGCUCGAAAGCGUGGGGAGCAAACAGGAUUAGAUACCCCUGUAGUC
rnacentral:rRNA from 1 species